rnacentral:tRNA from 1 species
GAAGAUAUAGCUCAAUGGUAGAGUGCAUACUUCGCUUGCAUGAGGUCCUGGGUUCAAUCCCCAGUACCUCA